GGUCUUCCUUUCCCGGGGGUCAGGCUGCAGCGCCAGAGCACGAGCUCGCCCAUAACUGGGGCCGCCUGUACCUCGCAGGCCGCCCUUUUAACCGCGAGCGACACAG